rnacentral:rRNA from 1 species
AACGAACGCUGGCGGCAGGCUUAACACAUGCAAGUCGAGCGCCCCGCAAGGGGAGCGGCAGACGGGUGAGUAACGCGUGGGAAUCUACCCAUCUCUACGGAAUAACGCAUGGAAACGUGUGCUAAUACCGUAUACGUCCUUCGGGAGAAAGAUUUAUCGGAGAUGGAUGAGCUCGCGUUGGAUUAGCUAGUUGGUGGGGUAAAGGCCUACCAAGGCGACGAUCCAUAGCUGGUCUGAGAGGAUGAUCAGCCACACUGGGACUGAGACACGGCCCAGACUCCUACGGGAGGCAGCAGUGGGGAAUAUUGGACAACGGGCGCAAGCCUGAUCCAGCCAUGCCGCGUGAGUGAUGAAGGCCCAAGGGUUGUAAAGCUCUUUCACCGGUGAAGAUAAUGACGGUAACCGGAGAAGAAGCCCCGGCUAACUUCGUGCCAGCAGCCGCAGUAACAC